AGUGGUGUAGCUCAGUGGUAGAGCACUUGCCUAGCAUGUGCAAGGCCCUGGGUUUUAUCUCCAGUAUCACAA
rnacentral:tRNA from 1 species